UCUUGGGGAGGAGCAAAGAAAGUUGUUUCUUGAGAUGGAAACUACGUCUGAUGAAGAUGCUGUGAA
rnacentral:pre_miRNA from 1 species